rnacentral:misc_RNA from 1 species
UAAGAGGCCAUUGAAAGAGAAGCUCGAGCCAAAUGAGGCCAACGACGAAGGGAGGGGAUUCGGCCAUUAAAUAAUCCCCGGAUUGGCGGAUGUAGGAGGUCUUAAGAUCGAUGAGAAAAUCAGGGAAAAGGGUUUGAGGGAAAAUAACCUGGAAAUCGAUUAGAGGCGAUAUGAAUGCGAGAAGAAGGAAGACGAGGAAUAGUAAGACGUCGACGAGCUUGAGAAGAGCGCCCAUGUUUUCCACUGAGCUUUCUUCUCACAAUGUCCGCG